CAGUAGCCGCGGUAAGACAGAGGAUGCAAGCGUUAUCCGGAAUGAUUGGGCGUAAAGCGUGCGUAGGCGGCUUUUUAAGUCGGAUGUGAAAUCCCUGAGCUUAACUUAGGAAUUGCAUUCGAUACUGGGAAGCUAGAGUAUGGGAGAGGAUGGUAGAAUUCCAGGUGUAGCGGUGAAAUGCGUAGAGAUCUGGAGGAAUACCGAUGGCGAAGGCAGCCAUCUGGCCUAAUACUGACGCUGAGGUACGAAAGCAUGGGGAGCAAACAGGAUUAGAUACCCCUGUAGUCCCUGUCUCUUAUAC
rnacentral:rRNA from 1 species